AUUGAACGCUGGCGGCAGGCCUAACACAUGCAAGUCGAGCGGAUGAAGGGAGCUUGCUCCUGGAUUCAGCGGCGGACGGGUGAGUAAUGCCUAGGAAUCUGCCUGGUAGUGGGGGAUAACGUCCGGAAACGGGCGCUAAUACCGCAUACGUCCUGAGGGAGAAAGUGGGGGAUCUUCGGACCUCACGCUAUCAGAUGAGCCUAGGUCGGAUUAGCUAGUUGGUGGGGUAAAGGCCUACCAAGGCGACGAUCCGUAACUGGUCUGAGAGGAUGAUCAGUCACACUGGAACUGAGACACGGUCCAGAAUCCUACGGGAGGCAGCAGUGGGGAAUAUUGGAAAAUGGGCGAAAGCCUGAUCCAGCCAUGCCGCGUGGGUGAAGAAGGUCUUCGGAUUGUAAAGCACUUUAAGUUGGGAGGAAGGGCAGUAAGUUAAGACCUUGCUGUUUUGACGUUACCAACAGAAUAAGCACCGGCUAACUUCGU
rnacentral:rRNA from 1 species